ensembl:lncRNA
GUGAUUUUCUGAGGAUGCCCAUUUAUUGAAUUUCUCAGGUAGCAGCAACAUGCAAUGAUAAAAAAAAAAAAAAUAUUUGCUGGAGUAUGUAACAGUCCUCCAAAGAGGAAAUGUGUGUGUGUGUGUGUGUGUGUGUGUGUGUGUGUGUGUGUGUGUGUGUGUGUGUGUGUGUGUGUGUGUGUGUGUGUGUGUAAGAGAAAGAGAGAGUCAUCGGUACAAUUCAAUAGAGCAGCCGAUAACAGCUCAUCUCUGCCCUAUAAUACUCUCUCUCUCUCUCUCUCUCUCUCUCUCUCUCUCUCUCUCUCUCUCUCGCUGGGGAUGAGUGUGGACAAUAGUCUCAGCAGUGGCCCCUGAUUGCCUCUUUUCACAUGUUAAUGAGCAUCUCUGCGUUCCUCCUCUUUCUCAAAUCUCCACAAAUUAUACAGCAAACACAGAAAAGGAAAAUCCUACGGCUUUUUUUAUUCAACAAACUGACAUGUAAAUGCAAGUGUAAGUGUUGUCCUCCGCUGCUCUGAUCGGCAGCUAAUUGUAGCCGUCAAUUGUAUAAGAUGCUCUUUUACUUCAACACAAGCCCGGAUCAAACACAAUCAACUCUCCCGCCUGGUUAAGAGAGAGAGAGAGAGAGAGAGAGAGGGAUACGGCGAUGUUCGUUGUCACGGUGAUGACUGUGUUUAUUCGCAUCACACGUUUGAAUAUAAAUAUUUGUUGAUUUGCUCAUCAUUGACAGAGAUCUGAACGCUGUCGAGGAUCUGUGUUUUGAAGCGCUGCUGUCUGUCUGAAUGUGACCGAAGAGAAAGACAGACAGACACCACACACAUAUACACACAUCAACAUUGUAUUUCAUUUAGAGCUGAUAGUACUUCAUCAAAUAUCAAGUACACAAAUAUUUACUCAGAUUCAAAUUUAUUCAGCAUUUAUGCAAAUAUAGGACGUGGCAUCCAAUCGGUUUCAUGCUGUUAUAUUGUGUAUUAUUGAAUGACUGAUGAGUAAUUGACCAAUCAGCAUCCAGGAGUCUGUUUUAUAAUGCACUUUUAUAUUGUUUACUUAUCACACAUCAUGACAUUUGACAUUGCAUUUGAUAGUGAAUCAAUUAUUUUAUCUAAUGUAAAGCCAUAUGCUCUUCCUCACAGCAGAUUUUAAAAUAGAAACAGAAAAAUGUGAAGAAUCACUCACUCACACACGUACACAAACACGCGGCGUCUCUGAUCCGGCGCACUUCCACAAGAGGGCCGAAUCCUGCAGGAGAAAGUCACGUUUUAUUGCAUAGGAUAAAUUAAAUUUCACACCCCUGUGAAGUUUAUAGAGUACAUAGAGGCAGAUUUUUACAAGAUUCAUAUGCAAAUGUGUGUCGAGAUUAGAGAUACAGCAAUUAUUCCAGUUCAUGAUAAAUUAUUCAUUUAACAACCGUCAAUUAUUAAUUCCACAGAAACAAUAAGCCGUGUUUCUGUAGGCAGAGUUUCCAAUUUUAACAGACCUUUACCUUUCUCUCUCUCGCUGUCUGUGAAGUCUGUUAAUGUCAGAAUUAAUUGUGAAUGUUUUCCAUUUCCUUCUCUGUCUCAAAAAGCCAGAGCAUCAAAAUAGUUAAAAAAAUAUGUCGUCGCACUGCUACUUUUACUUCACUGGAGACCUGACCUCUUUACCGAGAGAUGCUCAGAAUCAUGGCUCUCUUCGCCGAGCGUCUCUCGUUCGAUGUGUGCAAAUGAAGAGAGUCUGCUAAUAAUCAGAUCACUGGUGUUCAGAGUCCUUCCUCUGCACAGAGCAAGUGCUACAUGUGAAAAUCAAUAGCUAUUUGAUGCAUACGGCAUCUGUAGCUGCGCAGUCAGUAGCCCAGCAUGCUGUUAUAUACAGUAGACUGAAGCCGUAUGAGCGCAGGAGCCUGCGGCUACAGCACAACAACUCAGCUCAUAUGUUUGAGAGACUUUGAAAUCACUCUCUCUGCUAACUCUGCACUAUAAUUGUCCAUCAAUCUGCCAUGCUUCUCCUUUUCUUUUCUUUUGUCUGUGCGUGUGAGAUACGCUCACCAUGUACAGCUGUCAUUCACAUUAAAA